rnacentral:rRNA from 1 species
AGUUUGAUAAAGUUAGAUGGGAGUUUAAUUCAGCUUCAUUACAGAAUUGAGGUUAAAUUUGUGCCAGCAGCCGCGGUUAUACUGGUGUAAUUAGUAGAGGUAGUUAGGUGCACAGUGAAGAGCUAUUAAGGUUAUCAGGGAUCUCGGGGCUAAUAAGGUGAAAUUUGUAUUAUUAAAGGGGUUUGAUAGCUUUAUUUUUACUGAGGCUGUGAAAGUUGGAGUAAAGAAUAGGAUUAGAUACCCUAGUAUGUUUUACUGAAAUUAUUAAGGCUUGGUUAGUAUUAGUUAUAUUCUUGAAAUUUAAAGAAUUUGGCGGCAUUUUAGCCUGGUUAGAGGAACCUGUCUCUUAAACGAUAAACCACGAAAUAUCUUACUUUUCUUUGUCACUCAGCAUGUAUACCGUCAUUUAUAAAACAAUUUCUAUAGAAAUUAGUUAAAAUAAGUUUGUAAUUUGCAAAAUUAGAUCAAGGUGCAGCUAAUGGAAAAGUGAAGAUGGGUUACAAUAGCUUUAAGCUAUACGGAUCAAAAGUGUAAGUGAGUUUUGUGAAGGAGGAUUUAACAGUAAAAUAGAGUUAGUAAGUUUAUUUGAUGGUGGUUCUGAAAUGUGUACACAUCGCCCGUCGCUCUCACAACAAUGUGAGAUAAGUCGUAACAUAGUAGGUGUACUGGAAAGUGUACCUGGUCUUGUAAGUUUGAAAU